rnacentral:piRNA from 1 species
UGGACAGUUUGACGUGAAGGUGCUAC